rnacentral:misc_RNA from 1 species
GAUGAAGAACGUAGCGAAAUGCGAUAAGUAAUGCGAAUUGCAGAAUUCAGUGAGUCAUCGAAUCUUUGAACGCACAUUGCACCCUGUGGUAUUCCGCAGGGCAUGCCUGUUCGAGCGUCAUUUCAACCCUCAAGCUCUGCUUGGUGUUGGGCCCUGCCCGCUGCGGCCGGCCCUAAAGACAGUGGCGGUGCCGCCUGGCCCUGAGCGUAGUACAUCUCUCGCUCCAGUGCCCGGUGGUAGCCUGCCAGAACCCCAACUCUCGUGGUUGACCUCGGAUCAGGUAGGGAUACCCGCUGAACUUAAGCAUAUCAAUAAGCGGAGGA